ACAGGGAGCUUGCUCCUGGGUGACGAGCGGCGGACGGGUGAGUAAUGUCUGGGAAACUGCCCGAUGGAGGGGGAUAACUACUGGAAACGGUAGCUAAUACCGCAUAACGUCUUCGGACCAAAGUGGGGGACCUUCGGGCCUCACACCAUCGGAUGUGCCCAGAUGGGAUUAGCUAGUAGGUGGGGUAAUGGCUCACCUAGGCGACGAUCCCUAGCUGGUCUGAGAGGAUGACCAGCCACACUGGAACUGAGACACGGUCCAGACUCCUACGGGAGGCAGCAGUGGGGAAUAUUGCACAAUGGGCGCAAGCCUGAUGCAGCCAUGCCGCGUGUGUGAAGAAGGCCUUCGGGUUGUAAAGCACUUUCAGCGAGGAGGAAGGGUGGUGUGUUAAUAGCGCACCACAUUGACGUUACUCGCAGAAGAAGCACCGGCUAACUCCGUGCCAGCAGCCGCGGUAAUACGGAGGGUGCAAGCGUUAAUCGGAAUUACUGGGCGUAAAGCGCACGCAGGCGGUUUGUUAAGUCAGAUGUGAAAUCCCCGCGCUUAACGUGGGAACUGCAUUUGAAACUGGCAAGCUAGAGUCUUGUAGAGGGGGGUAGAAUUCCAGGUGUAGCGGUGAAAUGCGUAGAGAUCUGGAGGAAUACCGGUGGCGAAGGCGGCCCCCUGGACAAAGACUGACGCUCAGGUGCGAAAGCGUGGGGAGCAA
rnacentral:rRNA from 2 species